rnacentral:rRNA from 1 species
GGUCACACCUGUUCCCAUACCGAACACAGAAGUUAAGCCCUUCAGCGCUGAUGGUACUUGGCGGGAAGCUGCCUGGGAGAGUAGGUCGUUGCGACGU